rnacentral:rRNA from 1 species
CUGGUUGAUCCUGCCAGUAGUCAUAUGCUUGUCUCAAAGAUUAAGCCAUGCAUGUCUAAGUAUAAGCGACUAUACUGUGAAACUGCGAAUGGCUCAUUAUAUCAGUUAUGGUUUAUUUGAUGGUACCUACUACUUGGAUAACCGUAGUAAUUCUAGAGCCAAUACAUGCAGGAAGACCCGACUUCGGAAGGGUUGUAUUUAUUAGAUAAGAAACCAAUCCAGCUUGCUGGAUGCGUGCCGAGUCACAAUAACUGCUCGAAUCGCAUGACUUUACGUCGGCGAUGGUUCAUUCAAAUUUCUGCCCUAUCAGCUUUCGAUGGUAGGAUCGAGGCCUACCAUGGCGUUUACGGGUAACGGAGAAUUAGGGUUCGAUUCCGGAGAGGGAGCCUGAGAAACGGCUACCACAUCUAAGGAAGGCAGCAGGCGCGCAAAUUACCCAAUCCCGACACGGGGAGGUAGUGACAAGAAAUAACAAUACAGGGCAUCCAUGUCUUGUAAUUGGAAUGAGUAGAAUUUAAAUCCCUUUACGAGUAUCGAUUGGAGGGCAAGUCUGG